rnacentral:ncRNA from 1 species
CCCUCCAUGCCUCUUCAUAAUGCACAAACAGGAGGGU